UCAGGGAAACUUGUGCUAAUACCGUAGGGGCCCUUCGGGGGAAAGAUUUAUCGGCAAAGGAUCGGCCCGCGUUGGAUUAGCUAGUUGGUGAGGUAAAGGCUCACCAAGGCGACGAUCCAUAGCUGGUCUGAGAGGAUGAUCAGCCACACUGGGACUGAGACACGGCCCAGACUCCUACGGGAGGCAACAGUGGGGAAUAUUGGACAAUGGGCGCAAGCCUGAUCCAGCCAUGCCGCGUGAGUGAUGAAGGCCCUAGGGUUGUAAAGCUCUUUCACCGGUGAAGAUAAUGACGGUAACCGGAGAAGAAGCCCCGGCUAACUUCGUGCCAGCAGCCGCGGUAAUACGAACGGGGCUAGCGUUGUUCGGAUUUACUGGGCGUAAAGCGCAGGUAGGCGGACUUUUAAAUCAGGGCUGAAAUCCCGGGCCUCAACCCCGGAACUGCC
rnacentral:rRNA from 1 species